rnacentral:rRNA from 1 species
GAAUAUUGGACAAUGGGCGCAAGCCUGAUCCAGCCAUGCCGCGUGGAUGAUGAAGGCCCUAGGGUUGUAAAGUCCUUUUAACGGGGAAGAUAAUGACGGUACCCGUAGAAUAAGCCCCGGCUAACUUCGUGCCAGCAGCCGCGGUAAUACGAAGGGGGCUAGCGUUGCUCGGAAUUACUGGGCGUAAAGCGCACGUAGGCGGACCGAUAAGUCGGGGGUGAAAUCCUGGAGCUCAACUCCAGAACUGCCUUCGAAACUGCCGGUCUUGAGUUCGGGAGAGGUGAGUGGAACUGCGAGUGUAGAGGUGAAAUUCGUAGAUAUUCGCAAGAACACCAGUGGCGAAGGCGGCUCACUGGCCCGAUACUGACGCUGAGGUGCGAAAGCGUGGGGAGCAAACAGG